AUCUAUGGCCAUUCCACGCUAAACAUGCCCCAUCUCAUCUGAUCUCUGAAGCUAAGCAGAGUUGGGCCUCAUUAGUAUUGGAUGGGAGAAAAGGAAACCUCAGAAU
rnacentral:rRNA from 1 species